UCUUCCUCCCGGGUUUGGGUGGUUCUCCUGCCUCAGCCUCCCGAGUGGCUGGGAUUGCAGGCAUGAGUCACCAUUCCUGGCUAAUUUUGUAUUUCUUUUUUUUUUUUUUUUUUUUUUUUUUUUUUGGUAGAGACGAGGUUUCUCCAUGUUGGUCAGGCUGGUCUCAAACUGCCGACCUCAGGUGAUCCGCCCGCCUCGGCCUCCCAGGGUGCUUGGAUUGCAGGCGUGAGCCACCAUGCCCUGCUAAUUUUUUGUUGUUGUUGUUAGAGACGGGGUUUCUCCAUGUUGGUCAGGCUGGUCUCAAACUCCCGACUUCAGGUGAUCCGCCCGCCUCGACCUCCCCGGGGUGCUGGUGAGAGGUGACAAUGUGCUAGUAGCCCUCGCUCACUCUCAGUGCUUCCUCAGCCUGGGUGCCCGCUCUGGCCGAGCUCGAGGAGCCCUUCAGUCCGCCACUGUGCUGUGGGGGCCCCUCUCUGGGGCUGGCCGAGGCCCCAGCCGGCUCCCUCUGCUAGGGAGGAGAUGUGGAGGGAAGGGCACUGGCGGGAGCCUGGGCUGCGCUCCGCUGGGCUUGAUCCUGGACAAGCUCCCUCUGAGCUGCUGGAGUGCCGGGCUAGGUGCCACAAAGUCCUGUAGCGAGUGCCAUUGAGAGGUGAAGCGGCUGGGCUUCUGGGUCUGGUGGGGACCUGGAUAACUUUUCUGUCGAGCUAAAGGUUUGUAAACGCACCAAUCAGCACUCUGUGUCUAGCUAAAGGUUUGUAAAUGCACCAAUCAGCACUCUGUGUCUAGGUAAUGGCUUGGAGAACUUUUGUGUCUAGCUAAAGGUUUGUAAAUGCACCAAUCAGCGCUCUGCCAAAACAGACCAAUCAGCUAUCUGUAAAACGGACCAAUCAGCUCUCUGUAAAAUGGACUAAUCAGUAGGAUGUGGGUGGGGCCAGAUAAAGGAAUAAAAGCAGUUCACGGAGGCAGCAGCGGCAACCCGCUUGGGUCCCCUUCCAGGAUGUGGAAGCUCUCUUCUUUUGUGCUCUUUGUCAUAAAUCUUGCUGCUGCUCACUCUUUGGGUCCGCACAGCCUGUAUGAGCUGUGAUAAUCACCGCGAAGGUCUGCGGCUUAACUCCUGAAGUCAGUGAGCCCACGAACCCACCAGAAGGAAGAAACUCUGGACACAUCUGAACAUCUGAAAGAACAAACUCAGGACACACCAUCUUUAAGAACUGGUAACACUCACCGCGAGGGUCGGUGGCUUCAUUCUUGAAGUCAGUGAGACCAAGAACCCACCAAUUCCGGACACACUGGGAUUGCAGGUGUGAGCCACUGUGUCAGGCCUAAUUUAUUAAUCAGAAAGGAAUAAAUCGGCCUGGCCUGGUGGCUCACGCUUGUGAUCCCAGGACUUUGGACGACCAGGCAUGGAGGAUCACUGGAGCCUAGGAGUUCCAGACCAGCCUGGGCAACAUGGUGAAACCCGGUCUCUCUUUUUUUUUUUUUUUUUUUUUGAGGUGGAGUUUUGCGCUUGUUGCCCAACAUGGAGUGCAGUGGCGCGGUCUCGGCUCGCCAUGGCCUCCGCCUCCCGGGUUUGGGUGGUUCUCCCGCCUCACCUUCUCCAGUGGCUGGGAUUAAAGGCCUGAGCCACCAUGCCCGGCUAAUUUUGUAUUUUAUUUUAUUUUAUUUUUUGGUAGAGACGAGGGUUCUCCAUGUUGGUCGGGCUGGUCUCUAGCUCUCGACCUCAGGUGAUCCGCCCGCCUCGGCCUCCCGGGGUGCUGUGAUUGCAGGCGUGAGCCACCGCGCCCGGCCCAUUUAUUAGUAGGAAAGGAAUAGAUCGGCCUGGCAUGGUGGCUCAUGCUUGUGAUCCCAAGACUGGAUGGCCGAGCGCGAUGGAUUGCUUGAGCCUAGGAGUUCCAGACUGGCCUGGGAAACAUAGUGAAACUCGGUCUCUUUUUACUUUUCUUUCUUUCUUUCUUUUUUUUUUUUUUUUUUUGGUUUGUUUGUUUGAGACGGAGUUUCGCUUUUGUUGCACAGGCUAGAGUGCAGUGGCGCGAUCUCGGGUCACCUCAACCUCUGCUUCCCGGGUUUAGGUGAUUCUCCUGGCUCAGCCUCCCAAGUAGCUGGGAUUACAGGCAUGAGCCACCAUGACCGGCUAACUUUGUAUUUUUUUUUUUUUUUUAGUAGAGACGGGGUUUCUCCAUGUUGGUUGGGCUGGUCUGGAGCUCCCUACCUCAGGUGAUCCGCCCGCCUCAGCCUCCCAAAGUGCUGGGAUUGCAGGCGUGAGUCACCGGGCCUGGCCCGAAACCGGGUCUCUUAAGGGAAAAACAAAAACCACAAAGAUUAGCCGGGCGUGGUGGGCCGCACAGGUAGUCCCAGCUACUCUGAAGGCUGAUUGAGGAGGAUUGCUUGAGCCCCGGGGGUCGAGGUGGCAGUGAGCUAUGAUGGCGCUGCUGCAGUCCAGACUGGGCGACAGAGCGGGACUCUGUCUCAGGAAAAGGGAAAGGAAAAAAAGAAAGUGAAUGAAAUUGCUAAGUCAAGGAAAAGCUUGACAGUAUAUUAUUGAGAGAAAUACAGGCAAAGGUUAGCAGACACCAAUGUUCACUUAGUGGGAACUGCAGGUGUUCCCCGGACAGGAGGCUGCUACUUUUCCAAAAGAAAUCUAUUACUGACUAUCAAUAAAAAAAAAUAGGUUUGUUACAGUAUACAAAUAGCUAAACUUUAUAUAGCCAUGACCCUAUUCUAGCACUGCUCUAAGCUUUUUCCUGCUCUGAAAUAGCUACUAUUGUUACCUCUUGUAGGGAAAACAGAUCCCAGAGGUUGUUGUGGAAGGACCAAGGAAACUAUGAAAUUGACUUAUUGUAAGUUUCAGACUUAAAGGUUCUUCCUGCUCUGCUCCUUAGUUGCCACAUUUCAGUUAACAUACCUCUUAAAAUACUGGUACUUUCUAUAUUUGGAGGGAUUCGUCUUGCAAUUCGAAGUUUGUUUUGUUUUGUUUUGUUUUUUGUUUUUUGCACUAAGCAUUUGGUCAUAAGAUCACCUGGAUUUUAUGUCAGUUUAAGUACCUCUUUAGACAUUAUUCAGUUAGGAAUGUAAGUAGGAGCUAGCAUUGUGUGUAAAAGGAAAGAACAGCUGUUUACAAACCACUUUUGUUUCAUGAUACAAAUAUAAAUCAGUAUGUUACUGGAAAUGCAGGCUGGGCGGGGAGGGAAAAUACGCAGAGAGAAAAGCCCCAUCUCUGCUUGGAGUUCAGCACCGGAUCUCUUUUCCCUUCCACUUUCCUUGACAAGGCUGCCACAGUGACAGAAGCACACGGGGCUGCCUUUUAGUGACACCUGCUGGGACAGACCUGGAAGAAGGGAUUGCUGAUUUGCAUGUUUCCUGGCUGCCUCUGCUAGCCCCUGAGUCAGCAGCCCACUCCAAUUCAUGCUGAGCUUGGACAGCUGAGGUUUGAAAAAUUCCCCCUUCCCUUGGAGCAACCGUUUUCCAGCCUCCUCAUCAUUCCUGAAGGAGAGUGACCUACAUGACAGAUACCCAGAAAUUUAUAGAAGCUUCAUAGUGAGGCUAAAUCCUAAACAGGGGCUCAAACUGCCAACACCGAAUGAAGAGAGAGGUUUUGCAGUAAAGCAGGAAGUCAUUAAAAUAAUGAAUCACCCGGCUGGGUUUUGAGCUCCUUUCCCACUAAUUUAUUGGAAAGAUUUAUUGUCUUUACAAUGUACAAUGCCCAUCAUCAGUUGAAAAUAGAAGCUGAAAAUGCAUUUAAGGCUGGGUGCAGUGGCUCACACCUGUAAUCCCAACUCUUUGGGAGGUUGAAGCGGGUGGUUCACCUGAGGUCGGGAGUUCGAGACCAGCCUGGCCAACAUGAUGAAACCCCAUCUCUACUAAAAAUACAAAAAUUAGCCGGGCAUGGUGGUGCACACCUGUAAUCCCAGCUACUGGGGAGGCUGAAAUAAGUUCAUAAAUUCAGCAGCUGUGAGGUAAUUGGCCCAAUUGCUAUGCUACUUUCACCCCUUGAGGAUGAACAGUGCACAGGAGAGUGCAGGUUUACAGGUCUCUGAAUAGUGCCAUCCAAAAAUGGUGAACAACCACCCUGAAAAACAGCUUGGUGUUUUGUUUUGUUUUAUUUUGUUUUCACAAAUUAGAAACGUGCUUAACUAUGUACCCACUAACUGCACUCCUGGCCACUUGCCCUAGAGAAAUAAAAGUUGAUAUUCAUGCAAAAACUUGUGCAUGA
rnacentral:lncRNA from 1 species